UCGACGCAGAAAUGUGUAUUUUUUAAUAAUAAUCCCUAAGCUUUUUUAUUUUUUUAAAAUGUCAUUAUUUUCCUAAUUGUUUUAGCAUUUAUAAAAAACACACAUAAAAUGCGAAACUUAUUUUCUUAUUAUGAAAAAAGCGAAAGAAAACGCUUGAACCGAGCAUGCCUUGCUUACGCCAUUUUGGAUUUUUAGUGAAGUCGAUUUGAGACAGACUCUUCGAAUUAAAUGAAAAUAAAAUGUUUAAAACCGCAAGUGAUAUGAGAUUUUGUGAUGAAUCGUCUGAUGAAGAUAUUGUGGAAACAGAAUUCGAAGAUUCAAACGAUGAUUUGGGAAAUAUCUCAGUUAAUAACUCAACACAACAUAGGGACAGGCAUCGACCCAAGACAGCAUCCUGAUGUAGAUGGUGGACCUCUAGAUCCUAAAUUCCAACCUGCUAAGAAACAUGGAACACAUCUUAGUCAAUGGGGACAUUUUAACUAAAAGAGCUGCUAGGGAAUCCCUGAGCCCUGUGUCAUUUCGUCAAGCUGUACUUUACAGUGGAUAUGGUGAAGACAAUUGUUAUGUAUACCAACCAUUAUGCAGCACAAUGUGGACUUACAAGACCUAUUUCCAAAAGAUGGUAAAAUUUAACUAUAGAUCUAUAAAUGAGUUAUUUUUUUAGGUUUGCUGAUGUUUGAAGACAAGACACCACAGACUUCCACCUCUGGCCUAUCUUAUGAUGUAGUUACCAUAUUGUCACAAUCAGUCUUGCGUGCGGUAUAUCUUUUAUUUUUUGACAACUUGUACACUAAACUUAAACUAUUUAAAGAUCUUUUAAAUGUGGAAUUGGUGUUUGUGGCACAAUUAUAAAAAUAGGAAAGGUUUUCUUAUUGCCCUAAAAGAUAGGUCUUUUGAAAAAGUUUCAAAAAGAGGUGACAUGCUAUGGUUUAGCGAGGGUGACAUUGUAACAGUUAAGUGGCGCUAUAAUUAAAACAGUCUGUGAUGUCAAGCUAUAAGACAGCUAAUGGUUCAGUAAAGGUAAACAGCAGAACAUAGGUAGGAGGUAAUUAUACACAGUUGUAUGUUGAUCAAGCAAUUAGUAUUCAGGAUUAUAAGUAAUAAAUAUUGGGGGGGGGGGGUCAACACUAGGUGUCGCACUUGUGAUACAUAUCCGUAUUCACAAAAAGAGUAACUGUUUGUUAUAAUUUCAUGAAUCUUCUUGAAUCUUAUUGUUUUUAUUUUGUUAUCAAUAACCUUAUCCUAUUUUAUAUUAAUUUCUUUGCAGAUUACUUUUUUAUAAAUUUUUUACUUAUUUCCCCUUACACAGGUCAUGUUAUUGUGUAUUGUAUAUUUUUUUUAGUUCUUGUCCUAAAUGCAUCACAUCACCUUUUUUAAAUGCAGAAUUGAUUUAUCUAUCCAAUAAACAUUACUUUGUUUCAU